GAGCCGCGGGGCGGGCGGGGCGGCGGCAGCGGCGUCCGGGCUGCGCCGGGAGCGGCGCCGGGGUCGCGGGGAGGGAAGCGGCCACAGAGCGAGUCUUGCUGCUUCCUCAGGUUAAAAGAAAAUAAAGAAUUAAAGCUGCAAUUCCGCGCACAGCUCUGGGAAGCGUUGGCUCGGAUUGGCUUGGUUCCAUAGAGCACAAAGGAGAAAAAAUACAAAAAGUUGAAAGAAAAAUGGAGGAAAAGAAGACUACUAACCACAAACAAAAACUACAUCACUGGUCAAGCAUGCUGAUGGCUACUAACAGUGGAGCCAGGAUCAUUGCUUCUGUAAAGUUGGAUAGGAGGAUGUUUAUUGGAUGUUAUUAAAGAUGUAAACAAAUAG